rnacentral:rRNA from 1 species
CCAAUAGCGUAUAUUAAAGUUGUUGCAGUUAAAAAGCUCGUAGUUGAAUUUCGGGAUCAAUAUUUCGGUCAUGCCGUUGGUAUGCACUGUUAUCAUUGAUUUCUCACCUUCUAAAGAACCGUAAUGCCAUUAAUUUGGUGUUACGGGGAAUUAGGACUGUUACCUUGAAAAAAUUAGAGUGUUUAAAGCAGGCUAACGCUUGAAUACAUUCGCAUGGAAUAAUGAAAUAGGACAUCCGAUUCUAUUUUGUUGGUUUCUAGGAUCGAUGUAAUGAUUAAUAGGGAUAGUUGGGGGCAUUAGUAUUCAAUUGUCAGAGGUGAAAUUCUUGGAUUUAUUGAAGACUAACUACUGCGAAAGCAUUUGCCAAGGAUGUUUUCAUUAAUCAAGAGCGAAAGUUAGGGGAUCGAAGACGAUCAGAUACCGUCGUAGUCUUAACCAUAAACUAUGCCGACUAGGGAUCGGAUGAUGUUAAUUUUUUAAUGACUCAUUCGGCGCCUUACG